rnacentral:rRNA from 1 species
CGCAAUGCCCGAAAGGGUGACAAUGCGACGCCGCGUGAGCGAUGAAGGCCUUAGGGUUGUAAAGCUCUGUCAGCAGGGAUGAAUACAGAGGGGACAAUACCCUCUCUGUUUGACGGUACCUGCAGAGGAAGCCUCGGCUAACUCCGUGCCAGCAGCCGCGGUAAUACGGAGGAGGCAAGCGUUGUUCGGAUUCACUGGGUGUAAAGGUCAUGUAGGCGUUCUUUUAAGUCGGGUGUGAAAUCCCAUGGCUCAACCAUGGAACUGCAUUCGAUACUGGAAGAAUUGAGUACUUGAGAGGUAAGCGGAAUUCCGGAAGUAUGGGUGAAAUCAGUAGAUAUCCGGAAGAACACCAUUAGCGAAGGCGGCUUACUGGCAAGAUACCGACGCUGAAAUGAGAAAGCUAGGGGAGCGAACAGGAUUAGAUACCCUGGUAGUCCUAGCUGUAAACGAUGGGCACUAAGUAGAGGGG